ACUGCUGUGCAGGGCAGGAAAGCUCCACGCACACAGCCCAGCAAACAGCAGCACGCUGCUGAAAAAAAGACUCAGAGGAGAGAGAUAAGGAAGGAAAGUAGUGAUGGAUCUCAUCCCAAACUUGGCCGUGGAAACCUGGCUUCUCCUGGCUGUCAGCCUGAUACUCCUCUAUCUAUAUGGAACCCGUACACAUGGGCUUUUUAAGAAGCUUGGAAUUCCAGGGCCCACACCUCUGCCUUUUUUGGGAAAUGCUUUGUCCUUCCGUAAGGUGAGUGUUUUUGAGCUUCCUCUUUUGCUUCUUAUGAUUGCAAAGAGCAACUUAGUUCCAUCAGUAAAAAUGCUUCUCCUCAAGAGGAAGGUCUGAGAUUUUAUACUUUCAGAAAUAGCAUGUAGGCAUCACCCAGAGCAUGGCAAAGUUUACCCUGGGGCUCUCUUGCUAACUCUCAGGAACCUCAGGUUUGCCUCAGUUGGACAGUCCAAAUGUCAAGUAGAUCCAGCAAUCUGAUGUUCACAACUUGAUGUGCAGACUUUUUGAGCACCAUAAAGAGCAUUUCCUUUUUGCUCCAGCAGGUUCCCAGGAAGGUACAGUCAUACUUAGUUAGUAUUAAAAGUAGGAGCAGGAGCCCCUGAUUGUGGCUUGUUAUCUGUGGACAUGAGAGUAAAACUUUCCUCUCUGUAGCAAGAGCUAAUGAAUAGGCUUUUUCCCCUUCCUCCUGCACAGCUUGGAAACUCAGUUUAUUAGGGAGAUCAAGU
rnacentral:sRNA from 1 species